rnacentral:lncRNA from 1 species
ACCAACCACAAUCUUGUUCAAAUUGGUAGGUCACCAACCACAUCAUUUUGUUCAAAUUGGCAGGUGACCAACCCCACCAACCAUGUUUUUUUUUCACCACAUUCUUUGCCUAUAUAAAGGCCAUUCGGGAGCAAGAUAAAACACACCAACACAAAAAUAAUUCUUUUGUGUGUUAUAUCCGAGAGAGAAUUUUGAGAGUUACUCACAAUUUGGUGAGCGGUAGUUAGUGUCCAAAAAUUAGAGUGUAUAUUAUACAAGAGUGAGUGUGAGGUUUCUUUGGGUACAAUAUUUGUCCCAAAGGGUGUUCUUGUAUCGUCUCUAUUUUUGGUAUUUCUCAAGUUGGUCACUUGAUAUUUUGGUGUACCAUUUUUUUUUAUAGUGGAUAUUUCUCGGAGUUUGGCCUGUGGUUUUCCCCUCUAAAUUUGGGUGGGUUUUCCACGUAAAUUUUGGUGUUCCAAUUGCUUGUGUUAUUUUUUAUAUUGUUCAACGACCGAGUAAAGUGUGAAUUAAUAUUUUAUUCCCAACAACUCAGUGAAUAUUUUUCCUUCUUUUCCGCUUCGUAAUCCGAGGACAUCAAAUAGCCAAAAAGAAAUGAACAAGAAAUGAAUGGGUUCAUCAGCCACCAAGCUCUUUGUUUUAAUGAUCUUAUACUAAUUGGCAAUGAAUGUCUACCAAAUUUCCAGGCGAAAAUAAAUUCACGUAGGAGAUGAAAUUAAUUUCUUCUCGACCCAACGAAAGAUGGGAACAAAUUUUGCAAAGUGCAGCUUUUUUUUUUAAUGCCAAGGGCCCAUCCUAAGGUGUAGUACGCAAUACUAGGGGUGUACAUAGACCGGGUUGGUUCGGAUUUUACAAUUACCAAAUCAAACCAAACCAAUUGUGUCGGGUUAUUAAAUUUAAAGACCAAACCAAACCAAUAAUUUCGGGCUUUUCAAUAUCGGUUUUUCUCGGGUUUUUUCGGGUUUUCGGGUUAUUCGGGUCUUUUUCAAUUUUUUUCCGGUAAAAUCUUCGUAGAACAAAAUAUAUAACGUAUGCUCAAAAUAUUUCUUU